rnacentral:rRNA from 1 species
GACGAACGCUGGCGGCGUGCUUAACACAUGCAAGUCGAGCGGUAAGGCCCUUUCGGGGGUACACGAGCGGCGAACGGGUGAGUAACACGUGGGUGACCUGCCCUCAGCUCUGGGAUAAGCCUGGGAAACUGGGUCUAAUACUGGAUAUGACUCCACGGUGCAUGUCGUGGGGUGGAAAGCCUUGUGCGGCUGAGGAUGGGCCCGCGGCCUAUCAGCUUGUUGGUGGGGUGAUGGCCUACCAAGGCGACGACGGGUAGCCGGCCUGAGAGGGCGACCGGCCACACUGGGACUGAGACACGGCCCAGACUCCUACGGGAGGCGGCAGUGGGGAAUCUUGCGCAAUGGGCGAAAGCCUGACGCAGCGACGCCGCGUGAGGGAUGACGGCCUCGGUGU